rnacentral:misc_RNA from 1 species
AUCAUCUGCAGUCCAGCCCCAUCCAUGUUGUACUGUGCUUGAGCAAAUUGAACAGCAGUGUCAUUUGAGAUAUAUACUGAAGCAGAAGAGGAGACAUUAUUGAUAGGCUGAUCAUAAAGUUGCUGAGUGUAGGAUAUGUCAUUUGGGAAUUGAUUAUUAGGACUCGUUGCAUUGCGGAUGAGUUGAUCAUCUUCAGAAAAUCUUCCUCCAAGCUUGAUAAGCAGUUUCCUAAUAGAAGCAUGGUCAUUAAAGCGUGGUUCUUGGUUGGAGAAGGGUGUGGGAGCCAGUAAAGGCAGCCCAGGCCAGUAAGUGUUUUGAUUAUUGUUAUAAUCAUCUGAAACAAUAGGAUUAGCAUUUCCUCUCUUCAGCGCUUGUUUUAGGCCGCCCUACCCCUCCGAGCCUGUUGCUCUUUUCUUUGCUUACCAAGAAGCUUCUUUUUCAGUCUGGUGUUCCAGUAGUUCUUUAUGUCAUUAUCUGUUCUCCCUGGCAAUUGUGCUGCAAUUAUAGACCACCUGCUCCCAAUACUAAUAUAGAGGCUGCAAAUUAUGUCAUCUUCUUCCUCAGAGAAGCCUCCAUGCUUAAUAUUUGGGCGAAGAUAGUUUAACCAUCUAAGACGGCAGCUCUUGCCACAUCUUUUAAGGC